rnacentral:lncRNA from 1 species
GCUCCUCCUCUCAACCAGAUCGCGCCGCUGCUCGGCAUCUCGCCCGCCGCGGCCUCCUCCACCUGCGCUCCAGAUCGUCACCCCGCUGAAGAGCUUGGAGCCUGACGUCUCCUUCCACCGCGGUAAAGAGCGUGGAACCGACGUCCGUGGCGCCGCCGCGGCAGUCCUCCACCGUCGACUGCGCCUCCCCUGAACCCAACCCCAACCCUCUGGACAAGCCAGCAUCCGCCCCUUCCUCCUCAACUAGCAAGCACUGCCGCCGCAUCCUCACCAUCACAUAAGGUAAAUGUAUCUCCAGCUUCAAGAUUAGUUUGGACUUUCUGUAAGCUCUACUUCUCAAAAUUGCUCUUGUGCAAUUAAUUGAAAUGUUUGUUUUUGUUCUUAUUUUCGGAGCUUUUAUGCUUGAAUGUAGGUGCUAUAAACUUAACUGAUAAUUUCUUCCAUGAACCAAUCAGAUGGAAGAAUAUUACAUGGUGGUAAAUCUUGAGGCAAUCAAAUAAUGGUAGGAAAAGAAGAGUUUGCAGCGAGUGUGGAAAUUCCACUCAUCACAGGCGCACUUGUCCUGCACUGGAGUAAUCAUUUAUAUCAUUGUUUUUUCUUUGUGAGGACAGUAUCUUAUUUGCUGCGAAACUUAUGUUUCUUUCUUUAGGUCACCCCAUCCAGGGACUUGAUGUCGAUUACUAUCCUUGAUGCGAGACUCGCAUAGGUAUGGUUUAAAUAUCUCGGACUUGUGUUGGCAGUCUUGUUCAUAGCACGCUCAUGUCUGAAUUCAGGGUUUUCACUUGUAUGUUUCAAAGGUGAUUACUAGCUAACAGAAAUAAAAAACAGGGAAAAGAAUUGUUCACCGAUAUAUGAUACCACCAGUGACCAUUGCUGGAUUCUUAUGGUUGGUCCCUUCCCCGUGACUUGGAAGGACCAUAUGCAUGGUUGGUCCCUUCACAAAGAAAUUUAAACCAUAUGGUUGGUCCUUUCACCGUGACUUG